rnacentral:rRNA from 1 species
UACGUAGGGGGCAAGCGUUGUCCGGAUUUAUUGGGCGUAAAGCGCGUGUAGGCGGCCAGGUAGGUCUGGUGUGAAAUCCCGGGGCUCAACCUCGGAACUGCCUUUGAUACAGCAAGUCUUGAGUUCGAGAGAGGUGGGUGGAAUUCCUAGUGUAGAGGUGAAAUUCGUAGAUAUUAGGAAGAACACCGGUGGCGAAGGCGGCCCACUGGCCUCGACACUGACGCUGAGGUGCGAAAGCGUGGGGAGCAAACAGG